rnacentral:lncRNA from 1 species
AAUGAAAGGACAAGCGUGCAGACUCCUAGGGGCUACUGCAGCACCGUAUCCCAGCCAAGACAGCAUCCUGGUCAUAAUUUGAAGGCAAAUGUUAGACCUUUGCUCAAGGCAGAAUGAUCAUGGUGAGUUUGGACUGCUGAAGCACAUUUCUGAUACUCUACUUCUCCCGGAGUAAUGCAGAAUGGAGAAAUUUCCUUUGUCAGUGACAGCCUUUGCUCUGCGUCCCAAAACAAGGAAUACUGCACCUUUUGAGGAAGACUUGCAGUGGUGUAAUUAGAAGACAUUCAUAGCCGGGACUGUGACUGCAGAAGCUACCGUACAUUG